AGUGAACGCUGGCGGUAGGCCUAACACAUGCAAGUCGAACGGCAGCACAGUAAGAUCUUGCUCUUACGGGUGGCGAGGGGCGGACGGGUGAGGAAUGCAUCCGAAUCUACUAUUUCGUGGGGGAUAACGUAAAACAACUUACACUAAUACCGAAUACGUCCUACGGGUGAAAGCAGGGGAUCUUCGGACUUUGCGCGAUUGAAUGAGCCGAUGCCGGAUUAGCUAGUUGGCUGGGUAAAGGCCUACCAAGGCAACGAUGCGUAGCUGGCCUGAGAGGGUGAUCGGCCACACUGGAACUGAGACACGGUCCAGACUCCUACGGGAGGCAGCAGUAGGGAAUCUUCGGCAAUGGGCGAAAGCCUGACGGAGCAACGCCGCGUGAGUGAUGAAGGUCUUCGGGUCGUAAAACUCUGUUAUUGGGAAAGAACAAAUGUGGAAGUAACUAUGCACGUCUUGACGGUACCUAAUCAGAAAGCCACGGCUAACUACGUG
rnacentral:rRNA from 1 species